rnacentral:piRNA from 1 species
UGACAAUGUUGUGCUUAAUUCUA